AUUGAACGCUGGCGGCGUGCCUUACACAUGCAAGUCGAACGGUAACGGGCCUUCGGGUGCCGACGAGUGGCGAACGGGUGAGUAAUGCAUCGGAACGUACCUUUCAGUGGGGGAUAACGUAGCGAAAGUUACGCUAAUACCGCAUAUUCUGUGAGCAGGAAAGCAGGGGAUCGCAAGACCUUGCGCUGAUUGAGCGGCCGAUGUCAGAUUAGCUAGUUGGGGAGGUAAAGGCUCACCAAGGCGACGAUCUGUAGCGGGUCUGAGAGGAUGAUCCGCCACACUGGAACUGAGACACGGUCCAGACUCCUACGGGAGGCAGCAGUGGGGAAUGUUGGACAAUGGGGGCAACCCUGAUCCAGCCAUGCCGCGUGAGUGAAGAAGGCCUUCGGGUUGUAAAGCUCUUUCGGCCGGGAAGAAAUCGUAUGGGCUAAUACCCUGUGCGGAUGACGGUACCGGCAUAAGAAGCACCGGCUAACUACGUGCCAGCAGCCGCCGCCGUAA
rnacentral:rRNA from 1 species